rnacentral:tRNA from 1 species
GCAUUGGUGGUUCAGUAGCAAAAGUCUCACCUUGCACGUGGGAGACCUAGGUUCGAUUCCCAGCCAAGGCA